rnacentral:rRNA from 1 species
CAGUAGCCGCGGGAAUACGAAGGGUGCAAGCGUUACUCGGAAUUACUGGGCGUAAAGCGUGCGUAGGUGGUGGUUUAAGUCCGUUGUGAAAGCCCUGGGCUCAACCUGGGAAUUGCAGUGGAUACUGGAUCACUAGAGUGUGGUAGAGGAUAGUGGAAUUUCCGGUGUAGCAGUGAAAUGCGUAGAGAUCGGAAGGAACAUCUGUGGCGAAGGCGACUAUCUGGGCCAACACUGACACUGAGGCACGAAAGCGUGGGGAGCAAACAGGAUUAGAUACCCGGGUAGUCCCUGUCUCUUAUAA